rnacentral:rRNA from 1 species
UACGUAGGCAGCGAGCGUUGUUCGGAGUUACUGGGCGUAAAGGGUGUGUAGGCGGUCUUUUAAGUUUGGUGUGAAAUCUCCCGGCUCAACCGGGGAGGGUGCGCCGAAAACUAGGGGACUGGAGUGCGGGAUGGGAGAGUAGAAUUCCUGGUGUAGCGGUGAAAUGCGUAGAUAUCAGGAGGAAUACCGGUGGUGUAGACGGCUCUCUGGACCGCCACUGACGCUGAGACACGAAAGCGUGGGUA